AAAUUGCCAUUACGGUCACACCCUCCACAUCAGAGGAUACAGGUGAUGAUCAUUUAUCUCUAGAAGAUAUGCAGUUGCUUUACAAA
rnacentral:SRP_RNA from 1 species